UCGCAAGCAACAGCAGCAGCGGCUACGCAAAUGGUGAAAUUGAAGCCGCACAGUUUUUCCGACUUUGCAACGCCGCGCGCGUAUCACACGCGCGUCGUGAGAAAUUAAUCACUCUCCCGAGGGAAACCAGAGAGAGAGAGCGGGAGAGAGAGCAAGUUUUUUCCUUCGUGAGAGGGAGAGGCGGUGUGUGUUUCGUCAAGUCGCGCGCGCGUUCUGCGUUCAAGAUUUUCCCGACGUCGCGACGCCACCUUCGUCGAAGAAGACACAGUCGUCGUCGUCGCAUCCGGAACCCCAGUCGACGAAGGCGAACGGCGAGGCCGGUUCAGUCGAUAGUGAACCACCGAACCGAACCGGAGUGCCAACCCCGAACUACUAGGAAGCCGCCCCUGGCGUGUGUGAUUGUCUAGAGCAGAGAAGAGAGAAGCAGCAGUUCUUCGACGUCGAGCAGUUUGUUGCAGGUCCUGGCGUAAGGAGGACGAAGAUCACGUGCGGGUCGAUCAGGUCGUCGAUUCCGCAACGGCCGAGAAUCCGUUACAUAAGGUUUUGCGUGCGCGCGACAUUGGAGGGUCAGCUCUCUCAGCUGUAGUACUGACUGACGGACUUUGCAGCACUUCGCACAACGCGUGGCCGAAAGGUGUGUAGAGCUUGAGACAGAUUCUACGAAGAAACGCCAGCCCAGAGCGAUCGAACCAACAAACCGGUGCGCGACCGUUGUGCGUAUUUGUGAAAAUGUGACCAGUCCUCUCGGUUGUGUUGCGGUUGUGGGUGCCAAUGUGAAAAUUGUACCGCGUAACCCCAAAAUAAAAUUAGUCAAUUUUGCGAGGCAGAAGACAACGACGACGGUGACGAAGAGCGCGAGUGUGUGUGUGUCCGCGAAGAGGUCAGAAUCUGGUGAGGAAAAGUUACACUUUUUACCCCGUAAGUAACCGUGAAAUGAGUCACCUCGCGAAGGUGUGAGUGCGCCGCCGAGCGAGUACACAAAUGAUAAAUCUUGCACGAGAGUUGAAUAAUCGCACGAGGAAAAUCAACACAGAAGAUCAUCAGUGAAGUGAGGCAAGAUCAUCAGGCGCACGGCGAGGAAAGGUGUGCGGCGACGGCGAAGGCGGGCCCAGUGAGACAUAUCGUCGUGAGAUCAGACACACUUUUUUCACAAUCGUUCACAGGGUUUGUGGAUCACGACGAAGAUCUAGGGCACGAAGCGAGAGCGAGAGAGAAGAAAGAUCGCAUGAUCAGCAGUGAGUGCAUGCAAGUGAGUGAGCUAGAGUGAAAGAUACACGGGGAUACCCUUCUCGAAGUUAAUGUGUGCAUUAGAGGAAGAAGAAUCGAAUCGUCUGUGUUGUGCCUAGGAAGAGCGAAGAAGACUACACGGCUGCAGUCCAGCAAAUCGACGACGCAACGGAAACGUCAGAAAAGAUUAUGGACCUUUCUGAACCGGAAGAGUUGAGGAAGCGGUUCCGCGUGCGUGCAGCUCAUUCGAUGAGUGAAGCGUGAGUGUCGCGUGAGCGCGCGGUCACUCACCAGUGAGAGAGUAGUUUUACGAAUUGUGGUGCCCAAAAUUGCGAGUCUGGGGGUGCACGUUUGGGUGCAAGCGGAAAACGAUGAAGAAGAUAAUUGACAUGCGUCACUGUAGAUCUACGAAGAAGUUCAAGCUAAUAUUGCUGAUCCGAGCCAACCGCUACCGAGAGGCGCCCUAAGCUUUGGGCGGACGUGUCUUUGUGUCACGCGAGUGUGUGUGUGUGUGUCGGAUUUUGUGUCAAACUCGCCCCCGGGGGGAAUUUCGCGGCGGUUGGUGCCCUAGGGACCUCUAGGCAGCGACCCAUCCAAGCGGAGCAAAGCCGGACGCCAUGUACUUGCGCAAAUGGAGUCCGAUUAAAUAUCUGAUGUACUUAUGGCUAGCAAUUCUAGUGUGGAUAUUCUGUCGGUGUGAGAGCGUCGCCACGAUGCACCUGGCGCCAGUUGGAGUUAGUAGCAGCAGCAGCAGUAGCAGCGGCGGCAGUAGCUUAAGUAGUAGUACUAGCGUUAGUAGUGGCAGCAGCAGUAGUAGGAAUAGUAUAGCGGAGCAGCUGUUUGCCAAUGGGAUGCACUAUCGGGGCAGCGGUUCCACCAGUCCGUACCAGUGGCGCCCGUCGGAAGUGACCACUCAACGGUCGGCUACAUUUACCAAAACCCUUGACCGCCGGUGGACGCCGACGCCACCAGCUCAAGUGGCCAGCAGUUCCUUCUCGUCAUCCUCCUCCUCCUCUUCCUCCAGCUAUCACCAUCCUAUUAAUUAUGCUAAUCGUGUGCUCGUAGAGAAUGCCAAUAAGCAGCUGAUAAGCCAUGGGCGCCCCUUGAAGGAUCAGCUAGCAGCUAGCAGCCUAAGUCAGUCAUCCACUAGCGACAACCAUAGUAGUAGUAUUAUUAGCACCAGUAGUAGUAUUAACGUCGAAGCUGUCCAAGCCGAGCAGCGAUUGCAGCACCAAUGGCGGCUCCGGAUGAGUCAGAAACGAGCCCGACGGCUUGCCCAUCGGACUCAACUGGCCAACCGCAACCGGCGGGACUCGGUCCGACCGUUGCCAACCUCCGGCAGUCAGCAGCAGGCGCCCAGCCGGCGUCCUCCCAACCAACAGGGACCCACGGCGAACCUGCCGGCCAACGGACGGCGCUACUGUUCCGCCCGGGAUCCUGCCACGCUGGCCUUUGACGCCCCGAUCGUGUUCGAGGGCAAGGUCAAGUCGAUGAGCAGCGACCGGAGGGCCAACUUUUCCGUCACCUUCGAGCUGGUGGCGGUCCACAAAAAGUACACCAAGUUCUACCUGCCCAGCAACGUGCGGCUCCAGUUCUCGUACCGGAACAACUCCGAGUGCGACAUCUACCGGGAGACGUACCGCGAGCGGGGCAUUGUCCGCGAAGAGCUCGAACAGGGCAAGGUGUACUUUCUGUUCGUGAAGCAGAUCGACGUCGGCAACUUUACCAUCCUCGGGCAGCCGAUCCGCAAGACCAGACGUACCACGAACGGGGUGCUCGAGGGGGUGAGCGAAAAGUAUGGUAAACGCCCGGAGAUCUAUUCCAUCACGUCGAACGUGACGCGGCAGGAGGGCAAACGGGUGCGUCUGGUGUGCAAGGUGCGGGGGCAGCCGCCGCCGAAAGUGACGUGGUUCAAGGACAAACGGUCCAUCAACCGGAACGUGACGAAAUACGCUCAAGUACACCUCAAAAAACGAUCCGAGCUCAUCAUUCAUUCGGUGAUUCCCAGUGAUGCUGGAGAGUACGAGUGCCGAGCUAAAAAUAAAUACGCCAAGAUUUCCAACUCGACGCACGUUCGAAUAACGGCCAAACAUUCGAGCACCAAGCAGCCAACAACGCCGGCCACGCCGGAACCUCCGUACAAACCGCGGCCAUGCCGGGGCCCUGGCGCUGAGCACUUCUGUCUGAACAGUGGCACCUGCAUUCACUUCGAGGAACUCCAAGAGUGGGCAUGCACAUGUCCCAAAGGAUUCUCGGGCAACAAGUGCGAGAACAAAGACAUCGACUACCACCCGACGACGUCCAGCAAGCACCAGGACUGCUCGUACGGUUACGGAUACGGAGCACCGCGAUGGCCAAGACUUCCCUCGCCGCCGCAGCCGUCAUACUCCCGUUUGUGUACCCGUUGAGAUUGGGAUCAAAUCGAAUCCCUCCGACGAAGAAGAAAAAAUCCGGAAGAACCAGACUGUAGCGCUUAAGGUCACCCCGAGUGCGCCGACUUCCUGCUGAUGGAUUCCCCGGCGGUGGCGGCGUCCCUUCCGGUCGUGCCCCCGCUGUACGACUACGAUGACGAUGCCGACAUCUAGAGACAGAGUGCUGCGCUCCUGAAUCUCAGCCUUAAUCUUCGUGCCAAGGAUACAGAAAGAAAAAAACACGGGCGAUUUAUGCGAACUAUAUCUCGAAAUCAACAAAACAAAAGAAAAAAAGCAGCACAGAUAAACACAGUCGACAAUGCUACUAAUGAAAUUCCAUUCAAUUUAAGUGAUUGUGUAUAAAUAAUCUAACAUUUUGCUAGACAUAUUGCAGAAAACUAAAAGUUGUUUUAAACUGGGUAGGAAAACAGAGCAAAGGAAACGAUCGUGUGACGAUCUCUCUCCGCACACACGAAUUUGAAAA